AAGUAUUUCUUUUCUGUUUCACAUAUAUAUAUAUAUAUAUAUAUAUAUAUAUAUGUGAAACAGAAAAGAAAUACUU
rnacentral:miRNA from 1 species